CACGUAGGGCGCAAGCGUUGUCCGGAAUUAUUGGGCGUAAAGAGCUCGUAGGCGGUCUGUUGCGUCCGCUGUGAAAACCCGGGGCUUAACCCUGGGCUGGCAGUGGAUACGGACAGACUAGAGGUAGGUAGGGGAGAAUGGAAUUCCCGGUGUAGCGGUGAAAUGCGCAGAUAUCGGGAGGAACACCGGUGGCGAAAGCGGUUCUCUGGGCCUUACCUGACGCUGAGGAGCGAAAGCGUGGGGAGCGAACAGG
rnacentral:rRNA from 1 species